rnacentral:lncRNA from 1 species
AAUAUCUUGUAACUUGAUUCAAUCAAGGGAUUGAAUCAAGGGGUUAAAGGUUUGUUGGUGAGCCAAAGGGAAAACCAACGUUGUAAGGUUUGUUGGUGAGCCAAAGGGAAAACCAACGGGGUUUAGGUUUGUUGGUGAGCCGAGGGUAAAACCAACGUGUAAGGGUUUGAUUGUGAGCCCGGGAAAACAAUCAGGGUUGGUUCUAGUCGGUGAGCCUGGAAAAACCGACCGAGUUCGUUGUGCGCUCGUAAAACAACAAGUUGGGUUGUGAGCUUGUAAAACAACCGGCUGUAAUCUGUAGGAUUAUAGUG